UAAAGCAAAAGAAAAAUUGAAAUCAUAAAAAGGUAGAGCCCCAUUUCAUCUGCUCCGAUCUAAUCCGCAAACUACCGCAUCUUCUCCGAAAAAAAUCCAGCUUGCAGAUCUCCAUUCAUAUAUAAUCACCUCCACACAAACUAAAUUUACAUGAUACACAAAUUUUGUGUGAAAUCAUUUUAUUACAAAAUUUCUCAAUGAAGUUAUUAUUCGAACCAAUAGAGACUUCAAUUUGACUGACUUAGAUCUAAAUUUCCGUAGAUUUACGUGAUAUUCUAGAGAAUUUCAGUUUAUUGUCCUUUGAAAUGGCCUCAAAUAUACUUUCUCGGGAUCUUCCCAAACUUCAUCCAAUCUUAAUCGGGCUUAAUCCAGAUAAAUCUUCCAUUCCUUCGACAGACAUUUAGUUUUCUUUGGUUCUCACCUAUGAUUUAUUCUCCCUGUAGGUUGAACCCCUAAAGGAGUUGAUACCACUGCUUAAGACAACAAAAACACAGGAUUCCAACUUGCGUACUCGUACAUUGAAUGUAUUGAUACCAUUUGGCCUGCAUCGUCUGAUGAUGAAGAUGCACGUAACUAGGAUCAGCACGGGGUGUUUCGUUGAUCCAGUAAGCAGCUCAAAGUCAGUUGGUUCAUUCCAUUGAAGUGUAGGAGGCCAUUUUUCAAGAAAAGUUGGAACCAUUUCUUAAGUUAUUGGUAGGCCAUCAUGUUAGGGGAUAUUACCAUUUCUCUAUUCUAGCUAUGAUCUUGUUAUGUCUAAAGACACUUGUUGAUUCCUUUCCAUUGAGACUAUUGAUGUAAGCCUAUAAUGGAAUGUUGUACUUGUGUAUGCGAUUAUGCCUAACUUUGUAAUACUCGUCAGAUGGUUUAAUG